UGGUAUGCUCCAUGGGGAAUACUAUGUAGCCCCCAUGGAGCAUACCU
rnacentral:miRNA from 1 species